AGCGAACGCUGGCGGCAGGCCUAACACAUGCAAGUCGAACGAACUCUUCGGAGUUAGUGGCGGACGGGUGAGUAACACGUCGGAACGUGCCUUUUGGUUCGGAAUAACUCAGGUAAACUUGUGCUAAUACCGAAUGUGCCCUUCGGGGGAAAGAUUUAUCGCCAUUAGAGCGGCCCGCGUCGGAUUAGCUAGUUGGUGAGGUAACGGCUCACCAAGGCUACGAUCAGUAGCUGGUCUGAGAGGAUGACCAGCCACACUGGGACUGAGACACGGCCCAGACUCCUACGGGAGGGAGCAGUGGGGAAUCUUGCGCAAUGGGGGAAAGCAUGACGCAGCCAUGCCGCGUGAAUGAUGAAGGUCUUAGGAUUGUAAAAUUCUUUCACCGGGGACGAUAAUGACGGUACCCGGAGAAGAAGCCCCGGCUAACUUCGUG
rnacentral:rRNA from 1 species